rnacentral:rRNA from 1 species
CACGUAGGGGGCAAGCGUUGUCCGGAUUUAUUGGGCGUAAAGAGCUCGUAGGCUGUUCGAUAAGUCGGGUGUGAAACCUCCAGGCUCAACCUGGAGACGCCACCCGAUACUGUCAUGACUAGAGUCCGGUAGGGGAGCGUGGAAUUCCUGGUGUAGCGGUGAAAUGCGCAGAUAUCAGGAGGAACACCAGCGGCGAAGGCGGCGCUCUGGGCCGGUACUGACGCUGAGGAGCGAAGGCGUGGGUAGCAAACAGG